CUUAGACCUUCUGGUCCCUUCCACCAUUGCCUUAGAGAAACCCUCUUCUUGGAACUACUCAACAGGUAGAAUCAUGGAAAAUCAAGGUGGGGAAACACUCAACCAUCAUAUGGCCAAUUCCUCCAACUGACACCUGAACUCUUGUAUGACAUUUCUGCCCAGUCAUUGUCUAGCCUCUGCCAGAACGCCUCUAGGGGCAGAAAGCUGUCCCAACAUUACUUAUUCUUCUUUGGAAUAGAAUAACAGCAAAACAGAUGGAACAGGUA